rnacentral:rRNA from 1 species
AGAGUUUGAUCAUGGCUCAGGAUGAACGCUGGCGGCGUGCCUAAUACAUGCAAGUCGAACGGGGGCUGUGUUCGUAAGGAUACAGUACCCAGUGGCGAACGGGUGAGUAACACGUAGGCGACCUGCCCCGGAGAGGGGGAUAACGGUCCGAAAGGGCUGCUAAUACCCCAUUGUUCCCACGAGAGUCAGAGAGCUCGUGAGGAAAGGGAGCAAUCCGCUCCGGGAGGGGCCUGCGGCCCAUCAGGUAGUUGGUAGGGUAACGGCCUACCAAGCCGAAGACGGGUAGGGGGCCUGAGAGGGUGGUCCCCCACACGGGCACUGAGAGACGGGCCCGACUCCUACGGGAGGCAGCAGUAAGGGAUAUUGCGCAAUGGGCGAAAGCCUGACGCAGCAACGCCGCGUGCCCGAGGAAGGCCUUCGGGUCGUAAAGGGCUUUUAGGGCUGAAGAGCAAGGACGGUAAGCCCGGAAGAAGUGUCGGCUAACUACGUGCCAGCAGCCGCGGUAAAACGUAGGAUGCAAGCGUUAUCCGGAGUUACUGGGCGUAAAGGGCAGGCAGGCGGACUGCUAAGUUGGGUGUGAAAUCUCCCAGGCUUAACCGGGAGGGCGCAUCUGAGACUGGCAGACUGGAGGGCAGCAGAGGAGCGUGGAAUUCCGGGUGGAGUGGUGAAAUGCGUAGAGAUCCGGAGGAACACCAGAGGCGAAAGCGGGGCUCUGGGCUGCACCUGACGCUGAACUGCGAAAGCCAGGGGAGCGAACGGGAUUAGAAACCCCGGUAGUCCUGGCCGUAACGAUGCAACUGGGCGUGGGGCGG